rnacentral:rRNA from 1 species
AACGAACGCUGGCGGCAUGCCUAACACAUGCAAGUCGAACGAGACCUUCGGGUCUAGUGGCGCACGGGUGCGUAACGCGUGGGAAUCUGCCCUCAGGUACGGAAUAACUCAGGGAAACUUGAGCUAAUACCGUAUAAUGACUUCGGUCCAAAGAUUUAUCGCCUGGGGAUGAGCCCGCGUCGGAUUAGCUAGUUGGUGAGGUAAAGGCUCACCAAGGCGACGAUCCGUAGCUGGUCUGAGAGGAUGAUCAGCCACACUGGGACUGAGACACGGCCCAGACUCCUACGGGAGGCAGCAGUGGGGAAUAUUGGACAAUGGGCGCAAGCCUGAUCCAGCAAUGCCGCAUGAGUGAUGAAGGCCUUAGGGUUGUAAAGCUCUUUUACCCGGGAAGAUAAUGACUGUACCGGGAGAAUAAGCCCCGGCUAACUCCGUGCCAGCAGCCGCGGUAAUACGGAGGGGGCUAGCGUUGUUCGGAAUUACUGGGCGUAAAGCGCACGGUA